rnacentral:tmRNA from 1 species
GGGGGCGACAGGCCUCGACGGUGGUUAUGAGGUCUGAGUUGCAUGCCGUGGCUCUGUCUACCACGUUAAAAGGCAGAACAAACACAAACGCCAACACUGAAUUGGCUCUCGCUGCUUAAAUAAGCGGCGACGUCUUUCCGGGUAAUGCCUGCGGCCCGGAAAAGACGCGGAAGCGGGCUGGUCUAAAGAGGUCUCCCUUGAUCUUUAGAUAAGACUUAGAGGGAUAGGGCUUCGGAAAAGCCUGCUUGUCGGCGGUUCCGAACCCGAAUACUAAAAAGACAAGAUACGCAUGUAGACGCUCAGAAGUAGUACUUCCGGACCCGGGUUCGAAUCCCGGCGCCUCCACCA